ensembl:snRNA U4 U4 spliceosomal RNA
AGCUUUGUGCAGUGGCAGUAUCGCAGCCAAUGAGGUUUAUCUGAGCACAAUUAUUGCUAACUGGAAACUUUUCCCAAUACCCCACUGCAAUUACUUGCAAUAUAGUCAGCACUGGCAAUUUUUGAUAGUCUCUAUGGAGA